rnacentral:rRNA from 1 species
ACGAACGCUGGCGGCGUGCUUAACCCAUGCAAGUCGAACGGAAAGGCCCUGCUUUUGUGGGGUGCUCGAGUGGCGAACGGGUGAGUAACCCGUGAGUAACCUGCCCUUGACUUUGGGAUAACUUCAGGAAACUGGGGCUAAUACCGGAUAGGAGCUCCUGCUGCAUGGUGGGGGUUGGAAAGUUUCGGCGGUUGGGGAUGGACUCGCGGCUUAUCAGCUUGUUGGUGGGGUAGUGGCUUACCAAGGCUUUGACGGGUAGCCGGCCUGAGAGGGUGACCGGCCACAUUGGGACUGAGAUACGGCCCAGACUCCUACGGGAGGCAGCAGUGGGGAAUAUUGCACAAUGGGCGGAAGCCUGAUGCAGCAACGCCGCGUGCGGGAUGACGGCCUUCGGGUUGUAAACCGCUUUCGCCUGUGACGAAGCGUGAGUGACGGUAAUGGGUAAAGAAGCACCGGCUAACUACGUG